rnacentral:rRNA from 1 species
AGCGAACGCUGGCGGCAGGCCUAACACAUGCAAGUCGAACGAACUCUUCGGAGUUAGUGGCGGACGGGUGAGUAACACGUGGGAACGUGCCUUUAGGUUCGGAAUAACUCAGGGAAACUUGUGCUAAUACCGAAUGUGCCCUUCGGGGGAAAGAUUUAUCGCCUUUAGAGCGGCCCGCGUCUGAUUAGCUAGUUGGUGAGGUAAAGGCUCACCUAGGCGACGAUCAGUAGCUGGUCUGAGAGGAUGAUCAGCCACAUUGGGACUGAGACACGGCCCAAACUCCUACGGGAGGCAGCAGUGGGGAAUCUUGCGCAAUGGGCGAAAGCCUGACGCAGCCAUGCCGCGUGAAUGAUGAAGGUCUUAGGAUUGUAAAAUUCUUUCACCGGGGACGAUAAUGACGGUACCCGGAGAAGAAGCCCCGGCUAACUUCGUG